rnacentral:rRNA from 1 species
UACGUAGGGGGCGAGCGUUGUCCGGAAUCAUUGGGCGUAAAGAGCGUGUAGGCGGCCAUUCAAGUCCUGCGUGAAAUCUCGCGGCUCAACCGUGAGCGGUCGUGGGAAACUGGGUGGCUAGAGUGCGGGAGAGGAGAGUGGAAUUCCCGGUGUAGCGGUGAAAUGCGCAGAUAUCGGGAAGAACACCCGUGGCGAAGGCGGCUCUCUGGAACGCAACUGACGCUGAGACGCGAAAGCGUGGGGAGCAAACAGG